rnacentral:rRNA from 1 species
AUUGAACGCUGGCGGCAGGCCUAAAAAAGGCAAGUAGAGCGGAGCGGCGGACGGGUGAGUAAUGCCUAGGAAUCUGGGUGGGAGUGGGGGAUAACGUGCGGAAAUGGGCGCUAAUACCGCAUAAUAUAAGACGAGCCUAGGUCGGAUUAGCUAGUUGGGGGGGUGAAGGCCUACCAAGGCGACGAUCCGUAACUGGUCUGAGAGGAUGAUCAGUCACCCGAGAACUCGUACACUCUCCCGACUCCUACGGGAGGCAGCAGUGGGGAAUAUUGGACACUGGCCGGCCACCUACUCCAUCCAUGCCGCGUGUAUACCGUAGGUCUUCAUCUUGUACCACACUUUAAGUUGGGAGGCUUUACCAACAGAAUAAGCACCGGCUAACUUCGUGCCCUCAGCCGCGGUAAUAC